rnacentral:rRNA from 1 species
UAAGCAUAUCAAUAAGCGGAGGAAAAGAAACCAACAGGGAUUGCCCUAGUAACGGCGAGUGAAGCGGCAACAGCUCAAAUUUGAAAUCUGGCUCUUUCAGAGUCCGAGUUGUAAUUUGCAGAGGGCGCUUUGGCUUUGGCAGCGGUCCAAGUUCCUUGGAACAGGACGUCACAGAGGGUGAGAAUCCCGUACGUGGUCGCUAGCUAUUGCCGUGUAAAGCCCCUUCGACGAGUCGAGUUGUUUGGGAAUGCAGCUCUAAAUGGGAGGUAAAUUUCUUCUAAAGCUAAAUACUGGCCAGAGACCGAUAGCGCACAAGUAGAGUGAUCGAAAGAUGAAAAGCACUUUGGAAAGAGAGUCAAACAGCACGUGAAAUUGUUGAAAGGGAAGCGCUUGCAGCCAGACUUGCUUGCAGUUGCUCAUCCGGGCUUUUGCCCGGUGCACUCUUCUGCAGGCAGGCCAGCAUCAGUUUGGGCGGUGGGAUAAAGGUCUCUGUCACGUACCUCUCUUCGGGGAGGCCUUAUAGGGGAGGCGACAUACCACCAGCCUGGACUGAGGUCCGCGCAUCUGCUAGGAUGCUGGCGUAAUGGCUGUAAGCGGCCCGUCUUGAAACACGGACCAAGGAGUCUAACAUCUAUGCGAGUGUUUGGGUGUCAAGCCCGAACGCGUAAUGAAAGUGAACGGAGGUGGGAACCCGCAAGGGUGCACCAUCGACCGAUCCUGAUGUCUUCGGAAGGAUUUGAGUAAGAGCAUGGCUGUUGGGACCCGAAAGAUGGUGAACUAUGCUUGAAUAGGGUGAAGCCAGAGGAAACUCUGGUGGAGGCUCGCAGCGGUUCUGACGUGCAAAUCGAUCGUCAAAUUUGGG